AAUCUUCGGGGCAGGGUGCAAUUCCCGAUCGGCGGUAAAGUCCGCGAGCGUAUAGCAGAUCCGGUGUGAUUCCGGGACCGGCAGUAAAGUCUGAAUGAAAGAAGAUA
rnacentral:ncRNA from 1 species